rnacentral:rRNA from 1 species
AGUGAACGCUGGCGGCAGGCCUAAUACAUGCAAGUCGAACGGCAGCACAGUGGAGCUUGCUCCAUGGGUGGCGAGUGGCGGACGGGUGAGGAAUACAUGGGAAUCUGCCCAGUCGUGGGGGAUAACGUAGGGAAACUUACGCUAAUACCGCAUGCGCCCUUCGGGGGAAAGCCGGGGACCUUCGGGCCUGGCGCGAUUGGAUGAGCCCAUGUUCGAUUAGCUAGUUGGCGGGGUAAAGGCCCACCAAGGCGACGAUCGAUAGCUGGUCUGAGAGGAUGAUCAGCCACACUGGGACUGAGACACGGCCCAGACUCCUACGGGAGGCAGCAGUAGGGAAUAUUGGACAAUGGGCGAAAGCCUGAUCCAGCCAUGCCGCGUGAGUGAAGAAGGCCCUCGGGUUGUAAAGCUCUUUUGUCCGGGAAGAAAAGAAUCGGGCUAAUACCUCGGUGUUCUGACGGUACCGGAAGAAUAAGCACCGGCUAACUUCGUG